rnacentral:tRNA from 6 species
CGGGGCGUAGCUCAGAGGCAGAGCGCUGGCAUGGGGGGCCAGAGGUCGCCGGUUCGAUCCCGGCCGCCCCGACCA